rnacentral:rRNA from 1 species
AUUGAACGCUGGCGGCAUGCCUAACACAUGCAAGUCGAACGGCAGCACGGGAGCUUGCUCCUGGUGGCGAGUGGCGGACGGGUGAGUAAUGCAUAGGAAUCUGCCCAGUAGCGGGGGACAACUUGGGGGAAACUCAAGCUAAUGCCGCAUGCGCCCUACGGGGGGAAAGCGGGGGACCUUCGGGCCUCGCACUAUUGGAUGAGCCUAUGUCAGAUUAGCUUGUUGGUGGGGUAACGGCCUACCAAGGCGACGAUCUGUAGCUGGUCUGAGAGGACGAUCAGCCACACUGGGACUGAGACACGGCCCAGACUCCUACGGGAGGCAGCAGUGGGGAAUAUUGCACAAUGGGCGAAAGCCUGAUGCAGCAAUGCCGCGUGUGUGAAGAAGGCCUGCGGGUUGUAAAGCACUUUCAGUAGGGAGGAAACAGUAGCCGUUAAUAUCCGGUGCCUUGACGUUACUACAGAAGAAGCA